rnacentral:rRNA from 1 species
GACAGAGGAUGCAAGCGUUAUCCGGAAUGAUUGGGCGUAAAGCGUCUGUAGGUGGUUUAUCAAGUCUUCUGUCAAAGAUCAGGGCUUAACUCUGGGCAGGCAGGAGAAACUAGUAGACUAGAGUUCGGUAGGGGCAGAGGGAAUUCCCGGUGGAGCGGUGAAAUGCGUAGAGAUCGGGAGGAACACCAAAGGCGAAAGCACUCUGCUGGGCCUUAACUGACACUGAGAGACGAAAGCGAGGGGAGCAAAUGGG